AAAGAAGAAGAUUUUGAGAUACUAAUACAUUAUUUCUUGAAUGUUUGUCAUUAUUUUCAGAUACUAGCUCAUUAUUUCGAAAACGUUUUUGAUUAUAAUAACUUACAGGAGUAGUUUCCCCCCCCCCCCCGCUCACAUAGACGUAAGUGAGUUUCUAUAUAGGUGUCCACUCACUGUUCGUGGUACAUGAUAUAUUUUGUAUUGUUUCAUUUCAAGUGUUGAUUUUUGUUACUUUACUUUUUCACAGGUAGAAUAUUCCCAGUGCUCCAACAUUGGAAGGUAUAGUCUUUGAGCACAAAUGGGUUAAUGAAUAUCCACUCAUAUGAGUAAACUGUUUUAAUUCAACGUAGGAAUAAAGAAAAAAUGCAGCAAAAUCGGUGCAGUUUUAGCUCAAAUCAAACAGAUACAAAGACACUUGGAUUGCGGGCAGUAGGAGGGAACCAUCUCGCUCUACUUCAACACUCUUUGUAAAAACACACCUACGUCAUUACGUGUUUGAACGUGGCGGCGCGGUCCCUAGCAGCAGCUCAGCCCACCUAAAGUUUUCACUUCGCUCUCUGGCUAAAGUAAAGACAUGGGAACGAAACAAAUCAUUACAGUUACACGCAGGUAUUUAAUGACACUCAAUGUCUCACUAAGUUUGGUGUGCAAACGGAUCAAAUACGGCUUUCAUCGCGAUAUCUCACGACUGCGAUGACGUGCAAACUAAGUGGCCUGUUCAGCAUUGGAGAGGACUUUGAUGAUGAGGUGAAGACACACACACACACACACACACUCACACUCACACUCACACACACACACACACACAAACACACCUGAUUUUACUUAACUGUCAGGGAAGAUAGUGGUGGAAGAAGUAUUCAGAUCCUUUACUAAGUAAACAGUACUAUGUUACUUCAGUAAAAUCGUCUAAGUAUAAUCAGGAACAUGUACUUGGAGUAUUAAAAGUAUAAGUACAUAGUGUUAGUCAGUCAACUCAUUCAUUAAUCGACUAGUCAUUUCAGCUACUAUCAUAUAUAUAAACUCUUCUUGUGUUUUGUGUGUAAUUUGUAAAGUAACCAAGGCUGUCAGAUGCAUGUAAACCUGGGUCACAGGGAGGCUUUCAGUCAACUCAGCACUUUUACAAUCACUAAGAUUUGUCUUCUUUUCUGUAUUUAGAUAUUUCUUACUCUGCCUGUUUUUAUUAUUUUAUUUAAAGAUCACUCCUCACCUAUUACUUUAUUUAAUGACCUAAUAACUCCAAUGUUACAUGUGCAACUGUAAGAAAGUAUGACAAUGAGUGUUGAAUGCACAAGUGAAAUAUAAACACUCAAUAAAA
rnacentral:lncRNA from 1 species